GAAUUACUCCCUCCGUUCGGAAUUACUUAUCGCAGAAAUGGAUGUAUCUAGACGUGUUUUAGUUUUAGAUACAUCCAUUUCCGAGACAAGUAAUUCCGAACGGAGGGAGUACUUG
rnacentral:pre_miRNA from 1 species